rnacentral:rRNA from 1 species
AACGCCGCGUGAGUGAUGAAGGCUUUCGGGUCGUAAAGCUCUGUUGUUAGGGAAGAACAAGUACAAGAGUAACUGCUUGUACCUUGACGGUACCUAACCAGAAAGCCACGGCUAACUACGUGCCAGCCACUUCGGUGACUGAGCGGGCUGGCAAGGCGCAUA